rnacentral:rRNA from 1 species
GACGAACGCUGGCGGCGUGCUUAACACAUGCCAGUCGAACGGAAAGGCCCUGCUUUUGUGGGGUGCUCGAGUGGCGAACGGGUGAGUAACACGUGAGUAACCUGCCCUUGACUUUGGGAUAACUUCAGGAAACUGGGGCUAAUACCGGAUAGGAGCUCCUGCUGCAUGGUGGGGGUUGGAAAGUUUCGGCGGUUGGGGAUGGACUCGCGGCUUAUCAGCUUGUUGGUGGGGUAGUGGCUUACCAAGGCUUCGACGGGUAGCCGGCCUGGGAGGGUGGCCGGCCACGUGGGACCUGAGAUACGGCCCAGACGCCUACGGGAGGCAGCGGGGGGAAAUAUUGCACAGUGGGCGGAAGCGUGAUGCGGCAACGCCGGGUGCGGAAUGACGUCCUUCGGGUUGAAAACCGCUUUCGCCUGUGACGAAGAGUGAGUGACGGUAAUGGGUAAAGAAGCACCGGCUAACUACGUG